GCCUCGGUGGCGAUAUUGGUAGACGCAAGGGACUUAAAAUCCCUCGGCUGUAAGGCUGUGCCGGUUCGACUCCGGCCCGAGGCACCA
rnacentral:tRNA from 1 species